AUUUCCAGGGGGAACUUGGGUUAAUGUAUUCUGAAUAAAAGCUCUCGGACAAGAUAUCACCAGUUAACUUUUUUGACUUUUUGAAGAGAUCAAGUACCUUUUCUUUGUUUGAAUCUCGGUAACUCCAGUAAUUCCGUCUCAGACCAUCUGCAGGAAUACAAUAUUCUUUCUCAGACAUUCAAGAAAUGAACAUAACUGCCCCUCAGGCCUUUAUAGAAUAAAAAUCUGCAAUUUUAAUAACUUCCUUGUGGCAUUUUCACAUUUGGUAAGCCACCAUGGCGAAUCUCCACAGUUUUGACGUUCCUCAGAGACUUCUCUCCAUGCUGACCAAAGCUGCAGGUGUUUUUGUUCUCCUGGCUGUCUUCAUUCUGGAGUACAUAUUGAACUUGAACUUUCCAUGCUUCUGCAGGCCUGCAUGGGAAAGCCCACUACAUAUAGGCCCUCAUGGCUUACUGUACAUACUGUGCCCACCCACUAUAAUAACUUGUGCUAUCAUGCUAGUUGAUAAGAUGUACCAGAAGACGUUUUCCAGCAAGAGAUGCAGUGGGUGCUGCACGAAUUAUAACUGCUGCAAUUGCUUCUUUUCACUUACCAAACUUGGGAUCACAUUUCUGUCUGUAGUAUUCUACUGGAUAGCUGCUGUUUUCAUAGAUGGAGAAUGGUAUGUGUGCUAUCAGACCAACAACCAUCCAAAACAAGUUGGAAUUCCCUGUAAAGAAACGGAAAACCUGACCUAUGACGAGAGACUUGUCCUCACUGAUUACAAGACUGACUCAGUUGUCAUUGGCUUGCCUCUGGUUACCCUGGGCCUUGUUUUCUGGCACAUGUGUGAGUGCUGCUUCACCUUUCUCAAAAGAACAAACAACCGCUGCCAUCUUAAUCAACCAUAUUAUGAAAGGUUGUAUGAAGAAAUUCUUUCAGAGGAGGUAAACAAUCAUUUGAAGAAUGAACUGCAGGAAAUUGCGAAAGAGAGGGCCGAGAGGAUCUGUCUUCGGCCCCUUCAGUUCAUCAGGAGAGGGGAUCCUGGGAAUUCAUGGCAAGAUAUUUCAAACUCUGAUUUCUUUUUGUCAGACCAAUAUCAGGAGUCAGUGGGCACAGAAGAGUCAUCUCAUUCAAUAGGUUGCUGAACACUCAGCCCAGUGCGUGUUAUGAUUUUUAAAAGAUGUAAAAAAUAAUAAAAAAUGAAUUUUACGGAUGUUGAAAAUAUGUCUUUUACAUACAUGGAAUAACAUUAAUUUUCAGUUCUAAAUGAAACUUGAAAUGACGUCUUCUACAGAUGUUGAAAAUACAUAUUUGUUGGCAAAAAAAAUUCUAUAGCCAAAUUUCAAUCGUACAUAGUUUUUCCCUUUAAAUAUUACUGAAGAAAGCCUUAUGUCACGCUCAAAAGUUUUAUUUUCAAUAACAUAAUGAAUAUUGCAGUAUAGAUUAUUUUAUUAUUCACAUUUAUCACUCACACUUAUGUUAGUCUUUUCGAAAGCUUCAGGACUGAAAGUAAUCAAAUUCAACAUUUCCUGAUACAACCAACAGAACAUACACUACCACAACAUUCUCAGUAACAGUUACAAAAACGUUUUAUUUGCUAUGAUUCUGAUAUGUGAUUGAAUGCACUGACUCUGGAUAAGAAUGUCUGCUGAAUUACCUAAAUGUAGAAAUGAACACUUGUGAUUGCGACCCCAUCCUCAGUAGCCUUUUCCAGUGUUUACUUCUUAUGUUGUUACAAGUUACAUAAACUUUCCUUCUUAAUUCACUCAGUAACGUUAUGGGAAAAGGGUUAUAGACAUCUGUUUCACAAGUUUGGACAGCACAGACCAGUAGAGUACAAUAUAGUACAUUAUACUGCGCUCUACUUUACCAUACUGUAGUGUACUGAGCUGUACUCUACUCAACUAUACUCUACUUUACUUUAAUGUACUGCACUGUCCAAACGUGUGAAACAUAUGUCUAUGAUAAUGUUAUGUACUGUGCUCUGCUCUGCUGUACUGUACUGGCCAAACCUGUGAAAUGGAGGUCUAUGAAUGCUUCAGAUCUGGGGCAAAUCAGAACCAAUCAUAGACAUCUAUGUUUGGGACAAAUCAAGGCCAGUCUGGACCAGACCAAAUCUGAACCGAAAAGGAGCCAAAUCAAGGCCGGUCCUAACCGGACCAAAAAUAUGACGUCUGUGAAUGUUGGCCAAAUCAAGGCGGAAUGACCAAAUUCCAACUACUUUUCAACGUCCAUGGACGUCCGGCAUCGGUUGGUGCUCAGUGGGAGAAGAGUGUAAGGGUUUUAUUCAAAAAGAUACUUAGUCAAGUUCUUCUUGAUUAGCAUUUCUUGUGCUGCAAUAACCAUUCUGAUUCAAGCUUAAUAAACUAUGUUUAUACAGCAUUAAAGAGAAACUUUAAUCAAUACAUAAUUGUAGAGUAAAUACUGCCACUUAGAGGAGAUAAAUAGCUAAUGUGUUAAAACAGGUAAGGUAGGAACAGAAGUGCCAAGUUUAAGUGUUGCUGUCCGUCUUUAUUCAUGUGACACACUAACAGUGUUAUAUAUUAUUAGAAAGGCUCUCAAGGUGUGUGGGAAAAUUGUUAUAUGACCAAUACUGUAGCAUGCUACUCUGCUUAUUCCGCUGCUCUGCUCAUUUACCACUGGUGAUUAUUUCAAAUAUAUCAAUGACAUUACAUUUAGACAACACUGUCACUGAUGUAAAACCUACUGGCUAGAAAAGGUAUGUGAACCCGUUGGAAUUACCUGGAUUUCUGCAUAAAUUGGUACUAAAAUUUGAUCUGAUCGUUUUCUAAGUCACAACAAUAGAAAAACAGUGUGCUUAAUCUAAUAAACCACUGCUGUCCAAAAAAAACAUUGCUGCACAUCUGAAGUUUGCAAAAGAGCACCUGGAUGUUCCAUAGUGCAACUGGCAAAAUAUUCUGUGGGCAGAUGAAACUUAAGUUGAGUUGUUUUUAAGGAACACACAACACUAUGUAAAGUAUGGUGGAGGGAGCAUCAUGGUCUGGGGCUGCUUUGCUGCCUCAGGGCCUGCACAGAUUGCUAUCAUCAACGGAAACUUGGGAAUACAUUUUUAUCAAGACAUUUUGUAGGAGAAUGUAAGGUGGUCUGUCUGCCAAUUGAAACUCAACAGAAGUUGGGUGAUGCAACAGGACAACAACCCAAAACACAGAAGUAAAUCAACAACAAGAAUGGCUUCAACAGAAGAAAAUACUCCUCCUGGAGUGGCCCAGUCAGUCCUGACCUCAAACCGAUUGAGAUGCUGUGGUAUGACCUCGAGCGGUUCACACCAGACAUCCCAAGAAUAUUGCUAAACUGAAACCGUAUUCUACAGAGGAACAGUCCAAAAUUCCUCCUGAUCGUUGUGCAGGUCUGUUCCGCAACUACAGAAAAUAUUUGGUUGAAGUUAUUGCUGUCAAAGGAGGGUCAACCAAAUCCAAGGGUUCACAUGCUUUUCCUACCCUGCACUAUGAAUGUUUACAUGGCGUCUUUAUUAAACACAUGAAAACGUAUCAUUGUUUGUGUGUUAUCGGUUAAUUAAGAACUGUGUUUGUCUAUUGUUGUGAUUUCGAUGAAGAUCAGAAAUUUGAUGACCAAUUUAUGCAGAAAUCCAGGUAAUUCCAAAGGAUUCACAUACUUCUUCUUGCCACUGUAUGUACUUUGGAAAUUACUUUGUAUCAUCAUGGUUAUUACUGCAUUGUCGGAACUAGAAGCACAAGCAUUUCGCUACACUCGCAUUAACAUCUGCUAACCAUGUGUAUGUGACAAAUACAAUUUGAUUUGAUCCUACCAUUUUAUUACCAAAUGUUUUGAUAAACCAUAAUGUGUUUUUGUAUUGAUUUUAAGGUUGCUUAGUCAAAAAUAAAAUUGCAAUAAGGUU